rnacentral:rRNA from 1 species
AGUGAACGCUGGCGGUAGGCCUAACACAUGCAAGUCGAACGGCAGCACAGAGGAGCUUGCUCCUUGGGUGGCGAGUGGCGGACGGGUGAGGAAUACAUCGGAAUCUACUUUUUCGUGGGGGAUAACGUAGGGAAACUUACGCUAAUACCGCAUACGACCUACGGGUGAAAGCAGGGGACCUUCGGGCCUUGCGCGAUUGAAUGAGCCGAUGUCGGAUUAGCUAGUUGGCGGGGUAAAGGCCCACCAAGGCGACGAUCCGUAGCUGGUCUGAGAGGAUGACCAGCCACACUGGAACUGAGACACGGUCCAGACUCCUACGGGAGGCAGCAGUGGGGAAUAUUGGACAAUGGGCGCAAGCCUGAUCCAGCCAUACCGCGUGGGUGAAGAAGGCCUUCGGGUUGUAAAGCCCUUUUGUUGGGAAAGAAAUCCAGCCGGCUAAUACCUGGUUGGGAUGACGGUACCCAAAGAAUAAGCACCGGCUAACUUCGUGCCAGCAGCCGCAGUAA